rnacentral:rRNA from 1 species
GGAAAGGCUUACGGUGGAUACCUAGGCACCCAGAGACGAGGAAGGGCAUAGUAAGCGACGAAAUGCUUCGAGGAGUUGAAAAUAAGCGUAGAUCCGGAGAUUCCCGAAUAGGUCAACCUUUCGAACUGCUGCUGAAUCCAAGGGCAGACAAGAGAUAACCUGGCGAACUGAAACAUCUUAGUAGCCGGAGGAAAAGAAAGCAAAAGCGAUUCUCGUAGUAGCGGCGAGCGAAAUGAAAGUAGCCUAAACCGUGAAAACGGGAUUGUGAGAAAGCAAUAAAAGCGUCGUGCUACUAGGCGAAGCGGUGAAGUGUCGAACCCUAGAUGGCGAUAGUCAGUAGCCGAAAGCAUCACUAGCUUACGCUCUGACCCAAGUAGCAUGGGGCACGUGGAAUCUCGUUUGAAUCAGCAAUGACCACAUUGCAAGGCUAAAUACUCUUGGGUGACCGAUAGCGAAGUAGUACCGUGAGGGAAGGGUGAAAAGAGCCCCCGUCGGGGAGUGAAAUAGAACAUGAAAUCGUAAGCUCCCAAGUAGUGGGAGGAGCCCAGGGCUUUGACCGCGUACCUGUUGAAGAAUGAGCCGGCGACUCACAGGCAGUGGCUUGGUUAAUGGAACCCACUAGAGCCGUAGCGAAAGCGAGUCUUCAUAGGGUAAUUGUCAUUGCUUAUAGACCUGAACCUGGGUGAUCUAUCCAUGAGCAGGAUGAAGCUUGGGUGAAACUAAGUGAAGGUUCGAACCGACUGAUGUUGAAGAAUCAGCGGAUGAGUUGUGAUUAGGGGUGAAAUGCCACUCGAACCCAGAGCUAACUAGUUCUCCCUGAAAUACGUUGAGGCGUAGUAAUUGAUUGGACAUUUAGGGGUAAAGCACUGUUUCGGUGCGGGCCGCGAGAACGGUACCAAAUCGAGGUAAACUCUGAAUACUAGAUAUGACCUCAAAAUAACAGGGGUCAAGGUCGGUCAAUGAGACGAUGGGGGAUAAGCUUCAUCGUCGAGAGGGAAACAGCCCGAAUCACCAGCUAAGGCCUCUAAAUGAUCGCUUAGUGAUAAAGGAGGUAGAGGUACAGAGACAACUAGGAGGUUUACCUAAAAGCAGCUACUAUUGAAAAAGUACGUAAUAGCUCACUAAUCGAGCGCUCUUGCGUCGAAGAUGAACGGGGCUAAGCGAUCAGUCGAAGCUAUGGGAUGUAAAAAUGCAUUGGUAAGGGAGCGUUCCACCUUAGGGGGAAGCACCCGCGUGAGCGGGAGUAGACGAAGUGGAAGCGAGAAUGUCGGCUUAAGUAACGUAAACAUUGGUGAGAAUCUAAUGCCCCGAAAACCCAAGGGUUCCUCCAUAAGGUUCGUUCACGAAGGGUGAGUCAAGGCCUAAGAUCAGGCCGAAAGGCGUAGUCGAUGGACAACUGGUGAAUAUUCCUGUAUUACCCCUUGUUGGUCCCAAGGGACGGAGGAGGCUAGGUUAGCCAAAAGAUGGUUAUCGAUUCAAGGAUGCAAGGUGUCCCUGCUUUUUCAGGGUAAGAAGGGGUAGAAAAAAUGCCCCGAGCCAAUGUUCGAGUAUCAGGCACUACGGCACUGAAGUAACCCAUGCUAUACUCCCAAGAAAAGCUCGAACGACCUUCAACAAAAGAGUACCUGUACCCGAAAUCGACACAGGUGGGUAGGUAGAGAAUACCUAGGGGCGGCUAGACAACUCUGUCUAAGAAACUCAGCAAAAUAGCCCCGUAACUUCGGGAGAAGAAAUGCCUCCUCAUAAAGAGGGUCGUAGUGACCAGGCCCGGAGGUACCAACAACACAGAUCUCAGCAAAGUCGUAAGACCAUGUAUAGGGGUUGACGCUUGCCUAGUGCCGGAAGGGCAAAAAAGUUGGUGACCUGAUGACAUGGGAGCCAGCGAUCGAAGCCCCGGUGAACGGCGAUCGUAACUAUAACGGUCCUAAGGUAGCGAAAUUCCUCAUCGGGUAAAUUUUGACCCUCACGAAAGGCGUAACGAUCUGGGAACUAUCUCGGAGAGAGGCUCGGUGAAAUAGACAUGUCUGUGAAGAUGCGGACUACCCGUACCUGGACAGAAAGACCCUAUGAAGCUUCACUGUUCCCUGAUAUUGGCUUUGGGCUUUUCCUGCGCAGCUUAAGUGGAAGACAAAGAAAGCCUCCUUUCGGGGAGGCCCGAGCCAUCAGUGAAAUACCACUCUGGAAGAGCUAGAAUUCUAACAUUGUGUCAGGACCUACGGGCCAAAGGACAGUCUUAGGUAGACAGUUUCUAUGGGGCAUAGGCCUCCCAAAAGGUAACGAAUAGUGCAAAGGUUUUCUCGGACCAGACGGAGAUUGACCAUCGAGUGCAAAAGCAGAAGGGAGCUUGACUACAAGGCCCACCCGUCGAGGAGGGACGAAAGUCGGCUUUAGUGAUCCGAUGGUGCCGAGUAGAAGGGUUGUCGCUCAAUGGAUAAAAGUUACUCUAGGGAUAACAGGCUGAUCUUCCCCAAGAGCUCACAUCGACGGGAAGGUUUGGCACCUCGAUGUCGGCUCUUCGCCAUCUGGGGCUGUAGUAUGUUCCAAGGGUUGGGCUAUUCGCCCAUUAAAACGGUACGUGAGCUGAGUUCAGAACGUCGUGAGAUAGUUUGGUCUAUAUCCGGUGUGGGCAUUAGAGCAUUGAGAGGACCUUUCCCUAGUACAAAAGGACCGGGAAGGACGCACCUCUGGUGUACUAGCUAUCGUGCCCACAGUAAAUGCUGGGUAGCCAAGUGCGGAGCAGAUAACUGCUGAAAGCAUCUAAGUAGUAAGUCCACCCCAAGAUGAGUGCUUUCCUAUUCCGACUUCCCUAGAGCCUCCGAUAGCACAGCCGAGACGACAAAGGGUUCUCUGUCCCUGCGAGGAUCGAGUGACAGAAGUUUUGAGAAUUCAAGAGGUCAUGACGAGACGAGUCGUUUAUCAUUACAAUAGGUCCCAAGUGGAAGUGCA